GUGUUGUGUAGAGUGCAGUUCUCAUUCUCUCCACAGGGUGUGACAGGUAGAAGCAGCUACACAACUGUUCCUCAUCAGAAGCAAUCAAGGAGCCUAAAAUGCUGUUGGGACCUUGAAGGAGGUGUCAGAUUGUUUGCUCACCCAGAGUAGUAAUCAGACCAACAAACUCUGCUCUGUACCUGCCUGUGCUCUAAAUUGUCUGGUCUAACUUGACUGUGUUUUCCUGUUUCAAGGUUGGCGUCACGAGAAGUCCAGUCUUGGAUUAGCUGUCAUGGUUCUGCCUCCUGCAUGAUUGGUAACUGCUUAGAUAAAUUUACUUCAGCCAUAUGACCUCCCUGGAUUUCCCGGAUCUUCUAGUAGCGUUGCUGUUCGCUUCCACGGCCUGCCUGUCCAACCUCCAACACCAUUCACUAUCUGGAGAAGCCCGUUCACACAGCACAACGACCUGUCAACCUCAGUCUCCGUUGCUUGCUCAUCUCCUCCCAGAACUCUCUUCUCCAACUCCAAUGUGCUGACCCGCUGAGACCAGACACUUGCUGGAUCCUGAGUCGGCCUGUACUUUCAUUAAACUUGUUCAAACUUUUA